AGCGAACGCUGGCGGUAGGCCUAACACAUGCAAGUCGAACGAACCUUCCUGGGUUCUUGUCGGACGGGAGAGUAACUCCUGGGACCGUGCAUCUUGGCUCGGCCUAACUCAGGGAAACUUGUGCUACUACCGAGCGAGCGCUUCGGGGGAAAGUUUUAUUCUCUUUAGAGCGGCCCGCGUCUGAUUGGAUAGUUCGUUGAGGUAAUGGCUCAUCAAGGCGACGAUCAGUAGCUGGUCUGUGAGGAUGAUCAGCCACAGUGGGACUGAGACACGGCCCAAACUCCGACGGGAGGCAGCAGGAGGGAAUCUUGCGCAAUGCGCGAAUGCCUGACGAAUCCAGGCCGAGUGAAUGAGGGAGGUCUUAGUAGUGUAGAAUUCUUUCAGCGGGGGCGAUAAUGACGUGACCCGGGGAAGAAGCCCCGGCUAACUUCGUG
rnacentral:rRNA from 1 species